UACGAAGGGGGCUAGCGUUGCUCGGAAUCACUGGGCGUAAAGGGCGCGUAGGCGGCGUUUUAAGUCGGGGGUGAAAGCCUGUGGCUCAACCACAGAAUGGCCUUCGAUACUGGGACGCUUGAGUAUGGUAGAGGUUGGGGGAACUGCGCGUGUAGAGGUGAAAUUCGUAGAUAUUCGCAAGAACACCGGUGGCGAAGGCGGCCAACUGGACCAUCACUGACGCUGAGGCGCGAAAGCGUGGGGAGCAAACAGG
rnacentral:rRNA from 1 species